AUCCAGUUCAAAGUAGAUGGUGUGGAUUGUCUGCUUUGAUAAUCUAGAUUAUAUGGCAGUGUAGAAGGGGCCUGAGAAACAACAAAGUAGAGUGGAGAUGCAGGAAAACAUCUCAAGAGAAGAUUUCCAGCUUCAUGACCCCCUUGUGAAGUGCAUUUGCUUAAGAGGAAGUGAUAUACUGAGGUACUGUGGAUUCCACUGAUGACUUC
rnacentral:lncRNA from 11 species